ensembl:lncRNA
GUUAAUGUAUGGUGUAGAACAUUUUAAGUUCCUGACUCUCUUGCUCAGAGUACCACUGAAAGGGCCGAAAAGCAACACCAGCACAGAUGUUUAUUCCAAAUAACUGUCACCAGUUCAAAAGUUCCACUUUUCAGCUUGCAAAGACGGCUUGUGAAGAGAGCUGAGCUUCCAGUGCAGCAGCAGCCAAAGUCACAGGGGCAGAAAUAGUACGAGGGAUUAGAGAGCGAAGGACAGCCCUGACUAUUCACGCUUGGCACUUGCAAGACAGCCACCGGUACAAUGCAGAGCUCUGCCGAUUUGGUGUGUAUAAACCGCUGCCAGGAGUGUGUGUCAUCCUGAUGGAGCGUUUGAGGGAGAGAAGCUCUGUCUUCACUUAUCACUGUAACAAGCCCAGUGCUGAGCAAACACUUCUCAAGACGACGCUCUCCAUAAACGCGCAGAUAUACGAGCCAGCAGAGCUAGUUAUCCGCUAAUAAGGACACCGCUCAUGCUCAUUCUAUCUAUCUACAGUAUCUGUCUGUCUGUUUCUCUGUUAAUGUAUAGGGUUGGC